rnacentral:lncRNA from 1 species
GACGGGAAUGGCUGGUAGGGUGUGGAGUCUGGUUCAGGGGCUCCUAGGGCACAGGACUUUUGCAGCGUUCACUGGGAUUAAAUUGUGUACCUGAGAUGCAUCCCAUAUUUAUGAAGCCUUAACAAGUUCGAGUGGGAAAUGUUACUGAAGGUCAGGCCAGGAAAUCGAACGUGAAAGUGCUCAGGCCUGGAGCUUUACCGAUUUCUGGGUCUUUGCCAUUUUAUUUUCUGCUUCUCUCAGAACAGAGGAAGGAAGACUGGCCCUGAGAUGUUGCUCAAACUCUGCUAGGCAGAGGGGCGCGGCCUCCCAGUCCCCAUUCAUUCACCACUGUCAUCGUCAAAUAGGAGGACAUUGGAUUUCUUAUUAGGGAAACAGGAAAGAGUCUGGGCUUUUAAAUUCCACCUGUUGCACUUGGAGAAACCUGAAAACAGAGGCUAAUAUUAAAGAUAAAAGACCGAUACCAAAUGUUACUGACUUCCGCCGUUAUUUUGGAGACGUCGUGGAUAUUCUGCUGUUUAUUUCUGGCCCCAACUUGUUUGAGAAGCUUAUAAAGUGAAGGUUAGACCAAAGCCAGUCCAGGACCUCCCCGGUUAAAUCGGGAGCGUCAGCCACCGAGCACAGCAGGCCUGCGUUCCUGCCUCCUCCACGCCCAGCCCAGCGCGGGACCCCGGAAGGGCGGCCCGCCCAGCAGCCGGCCGUCCGGCCGUCGGUCUGUCCGCAGCGCGAAAGCCGCCUUGGAAGGACUCACUGCUGCCCUGGAGUCGACCUCUGUAACUGGAGCGGCGCCCGGACCCGAUGCCAGGAGUGCAAACAGCCUCCAGAAAGGCGGAGUUCUUCCGAAGAGCAGCAAGAGCCGCAGGAGACGGCCUUGCACCUUCCAGUCCCAGCCCGGCUCAGCCGGCUGAGUACUCGCUUGGCCCCGCUGUCAGGGCAGCUUGAGCACGCGGAGAAACCUGAGUCAGCUUUGAACAGUCUGUGUACAGUGACAGGCCACUCCUGGGACACUUGGCGCCUGUGCUCACAGGUCUGGUGGCUUGCUCGGCCCCUCCCCCCUGCUGGGGCUGAACCGGUGCCACCUCAGAAGCCAGACUGCAUCCUGCCUACCCUGUGCCUCUUCUCAUGAAGAGGACAGGACCCUCUGUGAUCUAAGCCGUAUCCUCUCUGCCCUCAACGCCUCACAUGCCCUCCCUUGAAGACAGUGGUAAGUGCGGACUGAAACGGACUUGGGGAGUCACUUCCUUUUGUUUGUUUUUUUAGGCAAAGUCUCACUACAUAACCCCGUCUGGCCCAGAGCUCAGGCACCUCCUGCCCCUCCUGCCCCAGCCUCCUGAGUGCUUAGGAUUACACGUGUGUGCCACCGUGCCUGACAGUGACUCACUCUGAGAAACAGAAUAAGGCAGCAGUGACGGGAUGUCACCUCUGAGUUGGUUUACUGAAAUCCUACAGCUUCUGUCACGCUCACCACCUGUUGUUUUCUCUCUUUCUGAAAUCUUGUUCCAGGGAAGUCAGCUACCAUCCUGUCUCAAGAAGAGGCCUGAGCAGCAAGGAGCUUGCUAUGUCUUGGGUGUGGUUUUUCUACCAAAGGUUCAUGUAGAAGAUUGAUCCACAGUGUGGUGAUGUUAAAAAGUGGUGGGAUCUUGCCAGGAGUGGUGGGGGAGGCCUGUAAUCGUAGCACCUGGGAGGCCGAGGCAGGAGCAUUGCAAAUUCAAGCCCAAUCUGGGCAACUUAUUGACCUAGCAAGACCCUGUCUAAAAAUAAAAAAUUUUUUUAAAUGUCUGGGCUGUAUUUAUUUAUUUAUUUUUGGUACCGGGGAUCUGAGGAUCGAACUUGGGUCCUUGUGCUUGCACAGCAGGUGGUGAAACCACAGAGCUAAAUCCCUGGCCCAGGGCUAUAGCUCAGUACAAAGGCUGUGGGUUCAAUCUCUAGUACUAAAAAGAAGGAGGAAGAGGAGGAAAAGAAAGAAGGCAAACCUAUCCACCCUACUCCUUCUCAUUUCCUGUCC